GUGUCAGCAGCCGCGGUAAUACGUAGGGUGCGAGCGUUAAUCGGAAUUACUGGGCGUAAAGCGUGCGCAGGCGGGCUUUUAAGCCAGACGUGAAAUCCCCGGGCUUAACCUGGGAAUGGCGUUUGGGACUGGAAGUCUGGAGUGCGGCAGAGGAGACUGGAAUUCCUGGUGUAGCAGUGAAAUGCGUAGAUAUCAGGAGGAACACCGAUGGCGAAGGCAGGUCUCUGGGCUGACACUGACGCUCAUGCACGAAAGCGUGGGGAGCAAACAGGAUUAGAUACCCUGGUAGUCC
rnacentral:rRNA from 1 species